GUCGAGGGGCAUCACGAGGUAGCAAUACUUUGGGUGGCGACCGGCGCACGGGUGCUUAACGCGUAUGUAACCUACCUAUAACAGGGGCAUAACACUGAGAAAUUGGUACUAAUUCCCCAUAAUAUUCGGAGAGGCAUCUCUCCGGGUUGAAAACUCCGGUGGUUAUAGAUGGACAUGCGUUGUAUUAGCUAGUUGGUGAGGUAACGGCUCACCAAGGCAACGAUACAUAGGGGGACUGAGAGGUUAACCCCCCACACUGGUACUGAGACACGGACCAGACUCCUACGGGAGGCAGCAGUGAGGAAUAUUGGUCAAUGGACGCAAGUCUGAACCAGCCAUGCCGCGUGCAGGAAGACGGCUCUAUGAGUUGUAAACUGCUUUUGUACGAGGGUAAACUCACCUACGUGUAGGUGACUGAAAGUAUCGUACGAAUAAGGAUCGGCUAACUCCGUGCCAGCAGCCGCGGUAAUACGGAGGAUUCAAGCGUUAUCCGGAUUUAUUGGGUUUAAAGGGUGCGUAGGCGGUUUGAUAAGUUAGAGGUGAAAUCCCGGGGCUUAACUCCGGAACUGCCUCUAAUACUGUUAGACUAGAGAGUAGUUGCGGUAGGCGGAAUGUAUGGUGUAGCGGUGAAAUGCUUAGAGAUCAUACAGAACACCGAUUGCGAAGGCAGCUUACCAAACUAUAUCUGACGUUGAGGCACGAAAGCGUGGGGAGCAAACAGGAUUAGAUACCCUGGUAGUCCACGCAGUAAACGAUGAUAACUCGUUGUCGGCGAUACACAGUCGGUGACUAAGCGAAAGCGAUAAGU
rnacentral:rRNA from 1 species